GACGAACGCUGGCGGCGUGCUUAACACAUGCCAGUCGAACGGAAAGGCCCUGCUUUUGUGGGGUGCUCGAGUGGCGAACGGGUGAGUAACACGUGAGUAACCUGCCCUUGACUUUGGGAUAACUUCAGGAAACUGGAGCUAAUACCGGAUAGGAGCUCCUGCUGCAUGGUGGGGGUUGGAAAGUUUCGGCGGUUGGGGAUGGACUCGCGGCUUAUCAGCUUGUUGGUGGGGUAGUGGCUUACCAAGGCUUUGACGGGUAGCCGGCCUGAGAGGGUGACCGGCCACAUUGGGACUGAGAGACGGCCCAGACUCCUACGGGAGGCAGCAGUGGGGAAUAUUGCACAAUGGGCGGAAGCCUGAUGCAGCAACGCCGCGUGCGGGAUGACGGGCUUCGGGUUGUAAACCGCUUUCGCCUGUGACGAAGCGUGAGUGACGGUAAUGGGUAAAGAAGCACCGGCUAACUACGUG
rnacentral:rRNA from 1 species